CGUCGUCCAUAUUGUAUUUCAUGACAUACGAGAAAGAUGUUAUACCUUUUGCUCCUAGAUAAAAAGGGUUAUGACGAAGAUUCAGUGACAAAUACAUAGUUACAGCUUCCAGUGCAGUGUUUGUAAUGAGCCACACUAGACAAAACACUGGCAGGCAACACUAGACAAGAUGAUGGAAAUGGCAGGUUGUUUCAUGAUGAUGUUUUUGGUAUAGAGCGGACCUAUAAUGGAGGGGACAGCCGUAGAUGAAACUUUUGAGAUAGAAGAUCUAAUGUUGUACUGAGAAGACAGUUCUGCUGAGAGUUUUGUGAUGUAGCGAGGUUUGAGAUUCUCUAAAUUUGACUUAAAGAUAUUGGUAAUGAGAUUGGUUAAAUUAGACAUUUAAAAAAAAAGGAAGUUUUUAAGGGCCGAUGAUCCAUUUCCUUUAUUUUCUAAAUAUACAUGUUCCCAGAAAUGAAGUCUGCAGAUGACUUAUUGCAGUUUAACUACAUCCAGAAUCCUGUGAAGAAUCAACUUUCUACUUUACCGUUAAAAAGUCCCUAAUUAUUGAGUUAUUUUUCUUUUUAAGUAGCCACCAUAAUUUAGGUGAAAUUAUGCUGAAAUAUCAAAAUAUUAGAAUUUCCCCAAAAAACUCUAGCCUUUAUAUUACACAUCUUUUGUUGGCGCGGCAGUAUAUUUAAGAAAAAUGAAAAAAGUAAUAAAAAAAAAUGUGGAGAACUGAAGAAAAAAUAUGAUACUGCUGAAAACCUGUGUGAUAUAGAGGUUUGAGUUUCUCUAAAUUUGAGUUCAAAGAAAUUGGUUAUAAGAUUUGUUAUAUUAGACCUUUAUUUUUUAAAGCAUGUUUUAUAAGGGUGAAGAUCUAUUUCCUUUAUUUUUUAAUACACAUGCUCCCAGAAAUGAAGUCUGCAGAUGACUAAUUACAGUUUCACUACAUGCUGAAUUUUAGUUUAUGAAUCAUGGGAAAAAUUGACUUUCAACUUUAUCUUUUAAAACCCUAAUUAUUCAGUAGAUUCUUCUUAAACAGCCAUUGAAAUUAAGGUAAACAUUUUGAUAAAAUAUGAAAUUUUAGAAUUUCCAAUGAAUAAAUAGGCUUUAUAUUACACAUCUUUUGUUGGCGCGGCAGUAUAUUUAAGAAAAAUGAAAAAAUAAAAAAAUAAAAUGUGAACUGAAGAAAAAUUAUGAUACUGCUGAAAACCUGUGUGAUAUAGAGGUUUGAGUUUCUCUAAAUUUGAGUUCAAAGAAAUUGGUAAUGAGAUUUGUUAAAUAAGACCUUUA